UACGUAGGGCGCAAGCGUUGUCCGGAAUUAUUGGGCGUAAAGAGCUCGUAGGCGGCUUGUCACGUCGGGUGUGAAAGCCCGGGGCUUAACCCCGGGUCUGCAUUCGAUACGGGCUAGCUAGAGUGUGGUAGGGGAGAUCGGAAUUCCUGGUGUAGCGGUGAAAUGCGCAGAUAUCAGGAGGAACACCGGUGGCGAAGGCGGGUCUCUGGGCCAUAACUGACGCUGAGGAGCGAAAGCGUGGGGAGCGAACAGG
rnacentral:rRNA from 1 species